rnacentral:rRNA from 1 species
UACGUAGGGUGGAAGCGUUGUCCGGAAUUAUUGGGCGUAAAGAGCUCGUAGGCGGUUUGUCGCGUCGAAUGUGAAAUCCCGGGGCUCAACCCCGGGUCUGCAUUCGAUACGGGCAGACUAGAGUUCGGUAGGGGAGUCUGGAAUUCCUGGUGUAGCGGUGAAAUGCGCAGAUAUCAGGAGGAACACCGGUGGCGAAGGCGGGACUCUGGGCCGAUACUGACGCUGAGGAGCGAAAGCGUGGGGAGCAAACAGG